CUUUCUGAUCCGUGGAUCAGAACGUUAGCUUUUCGGCUGAGCCAAGCACAGGUAGGCCAAGACCCGAAAGGAACUGCAGGCAGAGGGGCGAUUCCUGAGCGACCCCGCCGGCUUUCCCGCGUUCCGCCGGUGGAUCGGCGGCCUCGCCGUCGCUCGAGUGUGGGUAGGGCCUGAUCUACCGGCUCGACUUGUGUAUAGCCGUAGUUAGGUCGUAGCUAGGGUUCCGGCGUCCAGCCGUUCGUCCUUGGGGCGCGGCGGCGGCGGCUGAUUGGUUUGUCUGCCACUGAUCCAUCUCCAGGGGGUUGAAUAAGGCUUCCUCCAGCAUCUACUACGCCUCUGGUGGCACGUCCAGCGCCAGAUCCGUUGUUGAUUCCGGGUGGAUUGGGUCUACCGGAGUUCCUUCUUCCUCGCCAACUGCAUCGGCCAUCUACUGACAGGGUUAACCCUGAAGCACCUGGGGGGAAGAAAAGGGGAAGCCAGAAGCUGAGAACAGAAGAUCUUGCAGGUGCCCUGCAUUGGUGUGGAUGUCGCGGGCAGCGGACAACUGCUGGUGCAUCACAGAGCACCGCGAGGGGCACAACCACUCCAUGUCUCUUAUGAUGGGUGAAAAGGUGCACUGGCCGUCACAACAGCCACAUCGAUGUGUACACUAAAGAUUUGAUUACACAGCUCAGGGGGAAUAAUGUAAACCUUGGAAAAGUGUACAUCAUCAUAGGCAGUUUUUUCGGGUCUGUUCAGAAGGUGCCAUUGACAAAAAGGACACUGAGGAACAUCUGUCUUAAGAAAAGCCACGAACAGAUUGAUGAUGAUGUGAGGAAGACCUUGGAGGUUUUUGCGGACAUAUUAGCUGGUGAUCCCAGCUUCACUUACCGGGUUUUGGCGAACAACGAUAGCAGAGUGAAGAACCUGAUGUGAACAAAUGGUAGCACCCGGAUGCAAUACCAGUUCUCCGCCGGAGCAGGAGAAGAGUUUCAGAUGGUUCAAGUUUUGGAUCAGCGACAAGCGCGUGGAGCACCAACUUGCUGGCAGUUGAUGAUACCCAGGAUGACGAGGAGGGUGAAGUAAUACAUCAGGAGCCCAACCAGGAGAAGCUGCUGAAUGUGGAGAUGGAAGACAAGGGCAUGGAUUCUGGUCUGGAGGAAGGUUUCGGCGACCAUGAUCCUGCUGCUGUUGCCGCCUCGGUGAAUCUGACGAGGACCAUGGGUCGGGAGUGAUCUGUGUAGCAGGGUGAUGCUGAAUCUGACGGAGAAGGUGAAGUAGACAGUAAGGCAGCGAAACGGCUGAGGACGCAAGAUUAGUCUAAUUAAACCUAGCGUGCCAGUCUAUCAGCAUGAAAAAAGUGUAGUUUGAAAGGAAGCGGAGUUUCUACACCCAGGAGCAAAUGCUCCUGGUGUGAACAGUGAAAUAAAAAAAAAUCAAAAAAAAGUUAAAAAAUUC